rnacentral:rRNA from 1 species
CCUACGGGAGGCAGCAGUGAGGAAUAUUGGUCAAUGGGCGCGAGCCUGAACCAGCCAAGUAGCGUGAAGGAUGACUGCCCUACGGGUUGUAAACUUCUUUUAUAAAGGAAUAAAGUGAGUCUCGUGUGCCUCUUUGUAUGUACUUUAUGAAUAAGGAUCGGCUAACUCCGUGCCAGCAGCCGCGGUAAUACGGAGGAUCCGAGCGUUAUCCGGAUUUAUUGGGUUUAAAGGGAGCGUAGGUGGGUUGUUAAGUCAGUUGUGAAAGUGUGGGGCUCAACCGUAAAAUUGCAAUUGAUACUGGCAGUCUUGAGUACAGGUGAGGUAGGCGGAAUUCGAGGUGUAGCGGUGAAAUGCGUAGAUAUCACGAAGAACUUCGAUUGCGAAGGCAGCUUACUAAACUGCCACUGACAUUGAUGAUCGAAAGUGUGGGUAUCAAACAGGAUUAGAUACCCGGGUAGUC